rnacentral:rRNA from 1 species
UUUUCCUACGGGACGCAGCAGUGAGGAAUAUUGGUCAAUGGCCGGAAGGCUGAACCAGCCAAGUCGCGUGAGGGAAUAAGGCCCUAUGGGUCGUAAACCUCUUUGGUCAGGGAGCAAAGGCGUCCACGUGUGGACGAGAGGAGAGUACCUGAAGAAAAAGCAUCGGCUAACUCCGUGCCAGCAGCCGCGGUAAUACGGGGGAUGCGAGCGUUAUCCGGAUUUAUUGGGUUUAAAGGGUGCGUAGGCGGAGUGUCAAGUCAGCGGUAAAAUUUCGGGGCUCAACCCCGACGAGCCGUUGAAACUGG